GGAAGUGAGGACAGUGUGUCAGUGACACUUGGUAGCACACUGACUGCUCAGGCUGAUUGAUUUGGCUGAUGUGAUAGGCAAGGAGUGUGUCCACUUGUUACCUGGUGCUCCAGGCUCUCUCUGCACAGCUGUGCACGUGGUGGGAGGAGAUGGCCUUCUUGCAGAGAAGAGGACCUGCUCCUCAGGGUAGGCAAAGUAGCUUUGCUCUCUGAGAGAACCUCACACAAGCCUUCAAGAGAAUACAUGCAAAGGAAGCCUGGACAAUCAGCUGUAUCCUGUAACCGCUGCUUAUCUGGAAUUUCCAUGGUUUUAGU
rnacentral:snRNA from 1 species